rnacentral:rRNA from 1 species
CCACGGCCUCAGAUCAGACGUGGUGACCUGCUGAAUUUAAGCAUAUUACUAAGCAGGAAAAGGAACUAACCAGGAUUCCCUCAGUAACGGCCAGUGAAAAGGCAAGAGCCCAGCGCCGAAUCCCCAUUCAGCGGCAGCGUGGGAAAUGUGGCGUACAGAAGACCGACUGCCCUCAUCCCCGCAUCGCUCAGGGGGCUCAAGUCCUUCUGAUCUAGUCUCACCACGCAGAUGGUGUUAGGCCGAUAGCGGCCUCUUGCACACCGGGAUCAGGUCUUCUUGGAGUCAGGUUGCUUGGGAAGCAGCCCAAAGCGUGUGGUAAACUCUGUCUAAGGCUAAAUACGGGCGCGAGACUGAUGCCAACAAGUACCGUAAGGGAAAGUUGAACAGAAGUUUGAAGAGAGAGUUCAAGAGGGCUGAAAUGUUGAGAGGUAAACUGGUGGGGUCUGUGCAGUUCGCCCACAGGAUUCAACACGGCAGCCAGGUUGGUCACCUGGAACGGGGAGGCCCUUGCAGGUCUGUGGCCCGGCACAUCCAGCCCAGCAGGCGCAUUUCCACUGUAGCGGUGCACCACGACAGCUGGGAAGGCCCGGGGCAGGUGCUCUCUGCUCCAGCAGAGUGUUACAGCCCCCUGACAGCAGUUUUUCGGCUGAUGACCACCACCGGGCCCUUAUCGGCAACUGUCCUGGCCCCUCUUGGGGGUGCUAGAGUGGCACGGGAGACGGGGCUCCGAUGUGACUGUGGUGGACUGCCCUCAAUACGCCCUGACCACGUCGUGCUGCCGGGCGGGGAGGCCCACAAAGGCGCCAGGGGUCUGAGGUGAUGUCGGUUAACCACCCGACCUGUCUGGAAACACUGACCAAGGAGUAUAACACUGCCGAGUCAGAGGGCCGAAUAAACCCUGUGAUGUAAUGAUGUUGAGGGCCGGUGCCCGGCGAUUGCAGUGGCAUCCUGUCGCGGUGGGCUCUCCACCGACCCGUCUCGCCCGCUCUGUCAGAGAUGAUGCAUGAGCGUGUGUGAUAGGACCCAAAAGAUGGUGAACUCGGCCUGGUGGAGGUCCGUAGCGGUCCUGAUGUGUAAAUCGGUCAUCCGACCUGGGUAUAGGGGCAAAAGACUAAUCGAAUGAUAUAGUAGCUGGUUCUCUCCGAAGUUUCCCUCAGAUAGCUGGCGCACGAAACCCCAGUUUUAUCUAGCAAAGCAAAUGAUUAGAGGUCUUGGGGCAAAAUUAUCUCAACCUACUCUCAAACUUUAAAUGGGUAUGAAGCCCGGCUUGCUGGCGUGGAGCCGGGUAUUGUAUGAAAGUGCUCAGUGGGCAACUUUUGGUAAGCAGAACAGGCGCUGCGGGAUGAACCGCACCCGGGGUUAAGGCGCAUGAUGCAGAUGCUCAUCAGACCCAGAAACGGUGUUGGUUGAUAUAGACAGCAGGAUGGUGGCCAUGGUAGUCGGAUCCGCUAAGGAGUGUGUAACAACUCACCUGUCGAAUCAACUAGCCCUGAAAAUGGAUGGCCCUGGAGCAUCAGGCCCAUACCAGGCCGGCGUUGAGAGCCGCGGGGGCUAAGUCAGGCGAGUAGGAGGGUGCUGCAGUACGCACAGAAGCCCGGGGCGAGGGCCGGGUGGAGCCGCCGCAGGUGCAGAUCUUGGUUGUAGUAGCAAAUAUUCAAACGAGAACUUUGAAGGAUGAAGUGGAGAAGGGUUCCAUGUGAACAGAAGUUGAACAUGGGUCAGUCAGUCCUAAGAGAUGGGCGAGCGCCGUUCGGAAGGGAUGGGCUAUGGCCUCCGUUGCCCUCAGCCGAUCGACAGGGAGUCGGUUCAGAUCGCCGAACCAGAGUGGCAAGACGGGCACCCUUGCGGCGUCCAGUGCGGUAACGCAAAUGAUCCUUAGAGAAGCCGCGGGAGCCGGAGGAGAGUUCUUUUCUUUGUGAAGGGCAGGGCACCCUGGAAUGGGUUUGCCCCGAGAAAGGGGCCGAGCCUUGGAAAGGGUUGCGGUUUCGGCAGCGAUCCGGUGAGCUCUCGCUGGUCCUUUGAAAAUUCGGGAGAUGCUAAAUCUGCGCCAGGUCCGUACCCAUAUCCGCAGCAGGUCUCCAAGGCGGACAGCCUCUGGCAUGUCAGAACAAUGUAGGUACGGGAAGUCGACAAAUUAAAUCCUUAACUUUGGGAUUAGGAUUGGCUCUAAGGGCUGGGUCGGUCGGGCUGGGGCGCAAAGCAGGGCUGGGUGUGCACCAUGGCUGGAUGAGGCGUCUCCCCCCAGGGGCGGCUCUGCCUCUGGAUGCCAGCCGGGCCCUUCCUGUGGAUCACCCCAGCUGCAGUGUUCGCCUCUCUCAUUCCCCCUCCUGGGGUUUAGGGCCGGCAUUCUGCCUCGGCCGACACCUAGCAGCUGACUUGGAACUGGUGCGGACCAAGGGAAUCUGACUGAUUAAUUAAAACAAAGCAUUGCGAAGGCCGUGGAGGGUGUUGACACAAUGUGAUUUCUGCCAAGUGCUCUGAAUGUCAAAGUGAAGAAAUUCAAUGAAGCGUUGGUAAACGGCUGGGGUAACUAUGACCUUUAAGGUAGCCAAAGCCUUGUCAUCUAAUUAGUGAUGUGCAUGAAUGGAUGAAUGAGAUUCCCACUGUUCCUACCUACUAUCUAGCCGAAACCCACAGCCAAGGGAACAAGCGUGGCAGAAUCGUCAGGGAAGAAGAUCCAGUUGAGUUUGAUGAAGUCUGGCACUGUGAAGAGACAUGAGAGGUAGAAUAAGUGGGAGGGCCCUUGGGCCGCUGGUGAAUACCACUACUCUUAUUGUUUUUCCACUUACCCGGUGAGGCGUGGGGGCGAGCCCCGUG